GGGGUUAUAAUUUAAAGGUAGAAUAUUUGAUUUGCAAUCAAAAUGUAGCGGUUCGACUCCGCUUAACUCCA
rnacentral:tRNA from 2 species